UUAUUCGUUGAUGUAUAGAGCAUAAAAAGUUUUGAUCUUUUAAGGAGUGGUGCAAUUCCGCUACGUUUAA
rnacentral:tRNA from 1 species